AUAUUUUGAAUUACAGUUGACCACCAGAAAUCAAAACCCUGGAAAACAAAGUCACCAGAAAUACAAAGUAACUGGAAAAGUAACUGGAUUCUACUCAGCUGUGGUCUUUGCAUACAGUUUACUGAACUACCCUGCACACACACACACACACACACACACACACACACACACACACACUCCUUUCCUGUUUUACUUUUCCCAUGUGUUACCAAAUACAAUUUUCUUUAUUAUAUCUUUCCUUUAUCAUUAGAUAUGCAAUUUGCCAAUCUAACUUUAUAAACUACUUGACCGAAUAUUACCAGAUGGAAUACAGAAGGUACGGAAAAACAAGACAAAACAGAAAAGCUGGGACAGCUACCAUUUCCCCUGUUCUUCUGUGAUCUACCUGGAGGCAUCGUCAGCCGAUAUGAGGGGGAUUUUCAGUGGCAAAGUUAACUACACACAUGUGAUUGCUUUUGUUUAUUUGUUUGUUUGGUUUGGUUUCAUUCUAGAUGCAAACUUCUAUUCCACUCGAGCUGACAUAGAGCCCUAAAUGAGACACUUUGGUGAUGAUAACCCAUCAAGGACACCCUGCUUGCUCUUAAAGUGCAAGGGGGCGGGGCAGACAAGAGUGAAAUUCACUGGUAGAGUACUUGU
rnacentral:lncRNA from 1 species